rnacentral:rRNA from 1 species
CGUGAGGGAAAGGCGAAAAGAACCCCGGCGAGGGGAGUGAAAAAGAACCUGAAACCGUGUACGUACAAGCAGUGGGAGCACGCUUAGGCGUGUGACUGCGUACCUUUUGUAUAAUGGGUCAGCGACUUAUAUUCUGUAGCAAGGUUAACCGAAUAGGGGAGCCGAAGGGAAACCGAGUCUUAACUGGGCGUUAAGUUGCAGGGUAUAGACCCGAAACCCGGUGAUCUAGCCAUGGGCAGGUUGAAGGUUGGGUAACACUAACUGGAGGACCGAACCGACUAAUGUUGAAAAAUUAGCGGAUGACUUGUGGCUGGGGGUGAAAGGCCAAUCAAACCGGGAGAUAGCUGGUUCUCCCCGAAAGCUAUUUAGGUAGCGCCUCGUGAAUUCAUCUCCGGGGGUAGAGCACUGUUUCGGCAAGGGGGUCAUCCCGACUUACCAACCCGAUGCAAACUGCGAAUACCGGAGAAUGUUAUCACGGGAGACACACGGCGGGUGCUAACGUCCGUCGUGAAGAGGGAAACAACCCAGACCGCCAGCUAAGGUCCCAAAGUCAUGGUUAAGUGGGAAACGAUGUGGGAAGGCCCAGACAGCCAGGAUGUUGGCUUAGAAGCAGCCAUCAUUUAAAGAAAGCGUAAUAGCUCACUGGUCGAGUCGGCCUGCGCGGAAGAUGUAACGGGGCUAAACCAUGCACCGAAGCUGCGGCAGCGACGCUUAUGCGUUGUUGGGUAGGGGAGCGUUCUGUAAGCCUGUGAAGGUGUGCUGUGAGGCAUGCUGGAGGUAUCAGAAGUGCGAAUGCUGACAUAAGUAACGAUAAAGCGGGUGAAAAGCCCGCUCGCCGGAAGACCAAGGGUUCCUGUCCAACGUUAAUCGGGGCAGGGUGAGUCGACCCCUAAGGCGAGGCCGAAAGGCGUAGUCGAUGGGAAACAGGUUAAUAUUCCUGUACUUGGUGUUACUGCGAAGGGGGGACGGAGAAGGCUAUGUUGGCCGGGCGACGGUUGUCCCGGUUUAAGCGUGUAGGCUGGUUUUCCAGGCAAAUCCGGAAAAUCAAGGCUGAGGCGUGAUGACGAGGCACUACGGUGCUGAAGCAACAAAUGCCCUGCUUCCAGGAAAAGCCUCUAAGCAUCAGGUAACAUCAAAUCGUACCCCAAACCGACACAGGUGGUCAGGUAGAGAAUACCAAGGCGCUUGAGAGAACUCGGGUGAAGGAACUAGGCAAAAUGGUGCCGUAACUUCGGGAGAAGGCACGCUGAUAUGUAGGUGAAGUCCCUUGCGGAUGGAGCUGAAAUCAGUCGAAGAUACCAGCUGGCUGCAACUGUUUAUUAAAAACACAGCACUGUGCAAACACGAAAGUGGACGUAUACGGUGUGACGCCUGCCCGGUGCCGGAAGGUUAAUUGAUGGGGUCAGCGCAAGCGAAGCUCUUGAUCGAAGCCCCGGUAAACGGCGGCCGUAACUAUAACGGUCCUAAGGUAGCGAAAUUCCUUGUCGGGUAAGUUCCGACCUGCACGAAUGGCGUAAUGAUGGCCAGGCUGUCUCCACCCGAGACUCAGUGAAAUUGAACUCGCUGUGAAGAUGCAGUGUACCCGCGGCAAGACGGAAAGACCCCGUGAACCUUUACUAUAGCUUGACACUGAACAUUGAGCCUUGAUGUGUAGGAUAGGUGGGAGGCUUAGAAGUGUGGACGCCAGUCUGCAUGGAGCCGACCUUGAAAUACCACCCUUUAAUGUUUGAUGUUCUAACGUUGACCCGUAAUCCGGGUUGCGGACAGUGUCUGGUGGGUAGUUUGACUGGGGCGGUCUCCUCCUAAAGAGUAACGGAGGAGCACGAAGGUUGGCUAAUCCUGGUCGGACAUCAGGAGGUUAGUGCAAUGGCAUAAGCCAGCUUGACUGCGAGCGUGACGGCGCGAGCAGGUGCGAAAGCAGGUCAUAGUGAUCCGGUGGUUCUGAAUGGAAGGGCCAUCGCUCAACGGAUAAAAGGUACUCCGGGGAUAACAGGCUGAUACCGCCCAAGAGUUCAUAUCGACGGCGGUGUUUGGCACCUCGAUGUCGGCUCAUCACAUCCUGGGGCUGAAGUAGGUCCCAAGGGUAUGGCUGUUCGCCAUUUAAAGUGGUACGCGAGCUGGGUUUAGAACGUCGUGAGACAGUUCGGUCCCUAUCUGCCGUGGGCGCUGGAGAACUGAGGGGGGCUGCUCCUAGUACGAGAGGACCGGAGUGGACGCAUCACUGGUGUUCGGGUUGUCAUGCCAAUGGCACUGCCCGGUAGCUAAAUGCGGAAGAGAUAAGUGCUGAAAGCAUCUAAGCACGAAACUUGCCCCGAGAUGAGUUCUCCCUGACUCCUUGAGAGUCCUGAAGGAACGUUGAAGACGACGACGUUGAUAGGCCGGGUGUGUAAGCGCAGCGAUGCGUUGAGCUAACCGGUACUAAUGAACCGUGAG